UGCCAUUUCAACUUUAUUCUGCAGUUUUUAAAAAAAACUUCACAGAAUACCAUACAAAUAUGCAGAAAACAGAAUGUGGAAAAACUGAGAUAUGUUAAUUGACUGUAAUAAUUAUACUGCAUUUUGCUUUGAUACUCAAUUCAAUACUUUUUAAAAAUGAAGGAAUUUACCAAUACCAUUUUUUCAGGUUUGUAACACAAACAAUUGCAGUUCAGCGUGAGAUUGUAUUAUUUUUAAAAACAACUUACUGUUAUAUUUGCCACCACCACCCAAUCGUUCUCUCUCUUCUCUGUCUCACACACACCAGAAUUUAACAGGACCACUUUCAUGCAAAACAGAUUGUGAAUUAGUGACUUCUAAACCAAGCCAAGGGACGCGGGUGGCGCUGUGGGUAAAACCUCAGUGCCUAGGGCUUGCCGAUCGCAUGGUUGGCGGUUCGAAUCUCCGCGGCGGGGUGAGCUCCCGUCUUUCGGUCCCAGCUCCUGCCCACCUAGCAGUUCGAAAGCACGCUUAAGUGCAAGUAGAUAAAUAGGUACCGCUUUAUAGCGGGAAGGUAAACGGCGUUUCCGUGUGCUGCGCUGGUGCUGGCUCGCCGGAGCAGCUUCGUCACGCUGGCCACGUGACCUGGAAGUGUCUCCGGACAGCGCUGGCCCCCGGCCUCUUAAGUGAGAUGGGCGCACAACCCUAGAGUCGGACACGACUGGCCCGUAUGGGCAGGGGUACCUUUACCUUUAAACCAAGCCAGCAAUGUGUUUGGGGAGUGGAAACCCCAAUGCUCAUACAAAAUUUCCUUGCCUGAAGAGCUUUCUCAGUUCAAUGGAUGGAGACAAUCCACAGAUGCAUUUCUUUGCUCCUGUGUAUCAGCUUACUUUACUGAACUGAAGAGCACCAUCUACCCAUGUGUGCAUUUGAGCACACAUAUCUUCAUACAGUUAUACAUUCUGAGAUACAUACAGGCUCUUUGCAUCACUUUUGGCUAUAACCUGUGCUGUUGUCAAGAAGCUGCUGCAUGUGACAGCUUUUCUAUACACAUCAGAACUCCAGCAAGGAGUUGUGGGCAAGGACAAAUAACUAGAAUGUUUGCACUGCACUAGUAUAACAUCUGAUCAAGUCAACAGAAACCACCUGAGCUGUUUUCCAUAUAGUAUUAAAAUUUAUUAAGCAUCCUUCACCCUAAGGUCCCAGGACUGGCUACAGCAAUUCAAACACAAUGUCAAGAUCAGUUUAAAACAACUUACAAUCACAGAAAGAAAGAGGUUUCUAAAAAUGUCAUUUGUCUUAUCACUCACUUAUAACUGGUAUUAGAGCUGCCACUGUUUUCUAAUGCAAGAGAAAGUAAACCGGAUUCGGAUGUAAUUGCAUCAUUAUUCAGAUAUUAGUAUUUUGCAGUUGUUUAUUUUGAAAUGUUCAAAUUUCUUUUACAUGUCCAAAUGACUGAUUUAAUAUGUUUAUAGGCCACUUUUCUAAUUAAAAUAUUCAAAACAGCUUUCUAAAGAUAAAGAAACCCAAGAAUCUAAAAAGUAACAGAUAGCCACAUGAAAGGCCAUAAAUAAGACUUUUAAUGGAUCAAUAAAAUUGGUUCAUGGGAAAUUAUACCAACACCAUUAAAAAAACUAUCACUAAAAGCCUCAGAAGAGAAAGGUUUGGGUCCCUGGACUGAGGAAGCACACUUGAGCUUUGUAUUAACUAACAUCAGGUUUACAUUUGUUGCAAGAUUGUGACAUGGGACCAUUUUUAAAAAGCAAAAUCAUACCAUAUCCCAUUUAUUUAGGCAUUUGGGAGAGAAAUCAGUGCCCACAAAUGUAUUUUAACAAACCAAUUUAAUUUUCUGGCAGCUCAAUUCUAACCUGAAUCUAGCAAUCUUCUGAUAGGCGCAGAUAAGUGCUCAAAUGUUCACUGAACAGGAAGGCCUACCCUGACCAGAAGAAGUGCACAUUGAUCUCCUGAAGAGUUUUGGGUGAGGCCCUAUUUACACAUAUUAAAAUCUGAAAAGUAAUGUAAAGCUCAAUUUCACAUAUUCCAAAUCAAUGCAGAUUAGUAUUCAAGUAUACUGAAAAAGUCUAUUUUACAGCAUCUUCAGCUGGAGCUCAAUUUCACAUAUUCCAAAUCAAUGCAGAUUAGUAUUCAAGUAUACUGAAAAAGUCUAUUUUACAGCAUCUUCAGCUGGAGUUUGCUCCUGACAAUUUUUAAAGUAGUUUUACUUAAGCUAAAACUAAAAAAUAAAGAUAAAUUCUGCAAAAUAACAAAUAAGCUAAAUAUAUAAAUAUUAAUUUUAAGAAGUACAAAUGAGCAUGGCAAGUUAUUCUGGAAUGUUUAAAAGUAGCAUAUAAAUUUAGGAAAUAAGCUACCACUCAAGUAAAGGUAAAGGACCCCUGACCAUUAGGUCCAGUCGUGACCGACUCUGGGGUUGUGGCGUUCAUCUCGCUUUAUUGGCCGAGGGAGCCGGCGUACAGCUUCCAGGUUAUGUGGCCAGCAUGACUAAGCCGCUUCUGGCAAACCAGAGCAGCGCACGGAAAUGCCGUUUACCUUCCUGCCGGAGCGGUACCUAUUUAUCUACUUGCACUUUGACGUGCUUUCGAACUGCUAGGUUGGCAGGAGCAGGGACCGAGCAACGGGAGCUCACUCCGUUGCGGGGAUUCGAACCGCCGACCUUCUGAUCUGCAAGUCCUAGGCUCUGUGGUUUAACCCACAGCGCCACCUGUGUCCCUACCACUCAAGUAUUUACACCUAAAUAUCAGAGUUACUGAUAUUAUCCUGAAGGCGGGUAUUUAAACAGAAGUCACAUCACUGAAAGUUCAGUAUAACUCAUCAAUUUAUGGAGCACAAACCAGCUCUCUUCAGGUUAAAUAAGCCACCAAAUUUUGAAAGUACUUAAAAAAACAACCUAAUUAAAGCAUUACAUAUUACUAGUUUUACUACAGACCAACUUGGAAUACAAUUCCAAGGAUAAACAUGCUGACCUAUCAUUUUGCAUCCAGGGCCUCUUUAUCCAUUUUGGCAGGAAAAUGCUUGUAUGGUCGUGGUUUCAUGCAAGAUAUUUAUCAGGCUUUCACAGUAUUGUCAUAUAUUUCUGCCAGCAGUUGGUGCCAAAAUGCAGACUCUCUACAUAAGAGCGCCAGGUGGUUUUUCAAAUCUGUUUCUGGUCUAUUGUUAUUUUACCUUUUUGGAAGUUUUGCAUUAUUGCUGUUAAUUUUUUGUUUGCUUGUUUUAAUUUUUUUGUAAACAACUUCCAGCUGCGUGUUUUUAACCCGGAAGCAGUGCAUAAUUUUUUUUGAAAUAAAUGUUAAGGCCCCUAGGUGGAGCCAGUCUCCCAACAACUCUCAGUGGCUUCAACGCUGCCAUCACAAAUGGAGCAGUAUCUAUACACCCACCACUUAGCUUUCAUAAUAUAUGGGGAGAGAUAACUGCGGCUGCUAUGUGAAUUAGCUAAGUUUCCAUCUAGCACAGCCCUGGUCCACACAAUUUUCAGUGCAUUCAUAUCCUUCUAAAGUGCUCAAACUCUACAUGUUUUGGAAUUUUUCUGAUGCAUAUGGCUAUCCAACUACUGCUCUUUUGGGCUAAAGAACUGUGCAAUUGUAUAGUAUUAAUCCUGCUUGCUUUCCUUAUUAUAGAGUGUAUAUGGAAAUUCUAAACCUUCAGCCACCACCAAAGAUGGAAAAGAGAAAACCUUUGAAGGGACGUAUUAGAGGGAAUACUCUCCCUCUACAAAGAGGCAAAACUCAGCAAUGCAAGUUCAUGGAAUUCCAAAUAAAUACUUUUGCAGCACAGCAAAUUGUGAUGGAAUUUGCAUUUCUAGGGAUUUCAAAUGAAGGUAAUGCAAGUUAAAUGUUCCUUACACAUGGUAAAAUUAUGGCAUCCACAGGGCCUUUUCUAAGCACCCUUACAGUGCAAUCCUAUGCGUGUAUACUCAGAAGCCAGCCUCCAUUGAGUUCAGUAAGAUUUACUCCCAGGUACCCAUGCAUAUUAUUGCAGUUUUAGUUUGACAGCAAUAGCAUCAUCUUCAUUUCACAAAUGUUAAUAAAUAUAAUUAAGGACUUUAUCAUGAUUGGAGAAUCUCUGUUACCCCACACGAGACAUGAAAUGGACACAGCUAUAAUGUUCAAAUACAUCCUAAUGUUAUCUUCAAUUUAAAUAAAAUUUGUAUGGAAAUUUCAUAUAUUUUCAACAAACCAAAAAAGCCAUUUUAUAGCUUAUUCCAAGGUACAACUGUGCUUUUAAAAAUUUAUCAAAUUUUUGUGUUGGUACCUAAAGAGUAAGAUUCCC